GUAGCAACAACAAGUCUAAAAAGUAACGAAGGAGUCCAUUAAGGUCCUCUAGGCGCGAAUGGAAACCGUGCCGAUAGUGCAAUGGCAUAAGAGGGCUUGACUGUGAGGCGUACUUGCCGAGCAGACGCGAAAGCGGGGCAUAGUGAACCGACGGUCCGUGUUAGAGGCGGCCGGAGAUUAUCGGAUAAAAGCUACUCUGGGGAUAACAGGCUAGUUCCGCCUAAGAGUCCAAAUCGACGGCGGAGUUCGGCACCUUAACAAAUCGGGGUGCCAUGUCAGUAAUGAUAUUAGCCGUUUUGGCAAUCCAGUUAGGAGCUGGUGUGCCAAAACAAAAAACUUGGCUUA
rnacentral:rRNA from 1 species